rnacentral:lncRNA from 1 species
GCCUGGGUGACAGAGCGAGACUUCGUCUCAAAAAAAAAGAAGAAGAAAGAAGGAAGCUGAGGUUCAGACAGGCUAAGUCCCUACUGCAGGCUGCGGAAUCUAAAAAGGUCAUGAACUCUGAGAGUUUGAGAUGAGCCUCUAAAAGCUGUAUCAAUAGCACCUUGCACUGUUGAAGCAGGCCAUGAACUCUGAGAAUUUGGGCUGCAUUUUUAAAGCUGUAUCACUGGCAGUUUGUACUCAAAAAGCAGUGCUCUGAACAGAGUUCACCACCCAAGGGAGCCCUCUCUGACUGCUGUCCCCCGAGCACCUGCUUUGUUCCCUUCUUGAGAUAGUGUCUUGCAAUGUCGCCCAGGCUGGAGUGCAG